GGGGGAUUAGCUCAGUUGGGAGAGCGCUACAAUGGCAUUGUAGAGGUCAUCGGUUCAAGUCCGUUAUCCUCCACC
rnacentral:tRNA from 3 species